rnacentral:rRNA from 1 species
AGAGUUUGAUCAUGGCUCAGGAUGAACGCUGGCGGCGUGCCUAACACAUGCAAGUCGAGCGAUUUACUUCGGUAAAGAGCGGCGGACGGGUGAGUAACGCGUGGGUAACCUGCCCUGUACACACGGAUAACAUACCGAAAGGUAUGCUAAUACGAGAUAAAAUACUUUUAUCGCAUGGUAGAAGUAUCAAAGCUUUUGCGGUACAGGAUGGACCCGCGUCUGAUUAGCUAGUUGGUAAGGUAACGGCUUACCAAGGCGACGAUCAGUAGCCGACCUGAGAGGGUGAUCGGCCACAUUGGAACUGAGACACGGUCCAAACUCCUACGGGAGGCAGCAGUGGGGAAUAUUGCACAAUGGGCGAAAGCCUGAUGCAGCAACGCCGCGUGAGCGAUGAAGGCCUUCGGGUCGUAAAGCUCUGUCCUCAAGGAAGAUAAUGACGGUACUUGAGGAGGAAGCCCCGGCUAACUACGUGCCAGCAGCCGCGGUAAUACGUAGGGGGCUAGCGUUAUCCGGAAUUACUGGGCGUAAAGGGUGCGUAGGUGGUUUCUUAAGUCAGAGGUGAAAGGCUACGGCUCAACCGUAGUAAGCCUUUGAAACUGGGAAACUUGAGUGCAGGAGAGGAGAGUGGAAUUCCUAGUGUAGCGGUGAAAUGCGUAGAUAUUAGGAGGAACACCAGUUGCGAAGGCGGCUCUCUGGACUGUAACUGACACUGAGGCACGAAAGCGUGGGGAGCAAACAGGAUUAGAUACCCUGGUAGUCCACGCCGUAAACGAUGAGUACUAGCUGUCGGAGGUUACCCCCUUCGGUGGCGCAGCUAACGCAUUAAGUACUCCGCCUGGGAAGUACGCUCGCAAGAGUGAAACUCAAAGGAAUUGACGGGGACCCGCACAAGUAGCGGAGCAUGUGGUUUAAUUCGAAGCAACGCGAAGAACCUUACCUAAGCUUGACAUCCUUUUGACCGAUGCCUAAUCGCAUUUUUCCCUUCGGGGACAGAAGUGACAGGUGGUGCAUGGUUGUCGUCAGCUCGUGUCGUGAGAUGUUGGGUUAAGUCCCGCAACGAGCGCAACCCUUGCCUUUAGUUGCCAGCAUUAAGUUGGGCACUCUAGAGGGACUGCCAGGGAUAACCUGGAGGAAGGUGGGGAUGACGUCAAAUCAUCAUGCCCCUUAUGCUUAGGGCUACACACGUGCUACAAUGGGUGGUACAGAGGGCAGCCAAGUCGUGAGGCGGAGCUAAUCCCUUAAAGCCAUUCUCAGUUCGGAUUGUAGGCUGAAACUCGCCUACAUGAAGCUGGAGUUACUAGUAAUCGCAGAUCAGAGUGCUGCGGUGAAUGCGUUCCCGGGUCUUGUACACACCGCCCGUCACACCACGGAAGUUGGGGGCGCCCGAAGCCACUUAGCUAACCCUUUUGGGAAGCGAGUGUCGAAGGUGAAAUCAAUAACUGGGGUGAAGUCGUAACAAGGUAGCCGUAUCGGAAGGUGCGGCUGGAUCCUACUCCUU